UUGGAUCUCAUGGAGGCAUUUCCUCAA
rnacentral:piRNA from 1 species